AUCCUCCAACCUCUGCAGCUGUGAAGUGCACUGUUACUUAACAGGGCAACUAACCAUCCACCUAGGUGGAAUGAAGGGAAACUGUCUGUGGUGAGCUGUGGCUGGAAGAAGAUACCGGAUCAGAUCCAGGAAUAAAAAGCUUAGAGAAUGUUUGGGAACAGAAGCUGCAAAUAUUACCAUUGCGACAUAAUCUUGACAUCUAUACGCAGCUGCUGGGAGGAAUCAUCUAACAAUUGGAGUGCAUUGGAGUAUGCCAGUAUUACUGAGCUCUACAUUUCAUUUUUAUCUGGAACAG